UACGUCGGGGGCAAGCGUUGUCCGGAAUCACUGGGCGUAACGCGCGCGCAGGCGGUCAUCUACGUCUGGGGUGAAAGCCCGGAGCUCAACUCCGGGAUUGCCUUGGAUACGGGAUGACUUGAGGAUCGGAGAGGCAAGGGGAAUUCCACGUGUAGCGGUGAAAUGCGUAGAGAUGUGGAGGAACACCUGUGGCGAAGGCGCCUUGCUGGCCGAUUUCUGACGCUGAGGCGCGAAAGCGUGGGGAGCAAACAGG
rnacentral:rRNA from 1 species